rnacentral:lncRNA from 1 species
GAGGGAGAAGGGGGCCAUAGGAACAGCCAGGGCACCUGUGCCUUUGCCAAGCAUUGUCAUUGCGCUAUUGCUGAAGGUCUUUAACAUGAAAGGAUGAAUAAGAAAGAGUAAGAAGCCAAGCAAGUUAGAUAGAACUUUUAGAUGAAAGAUGGAGAGCCAGGAAGCUACCAGCAAAACUCCUGCUUGUGAUUAGAAGUCCUUCAUCAGGUGAUAAUGAAAUUAUCUUUAAGAGGCUGAACUGAGAGCAGCCAGCCUGCUUUGCCACUCACUCCUGUGCUGAGCAACCCAGGGCAAAUGACUGAUCUCUCUGGGCUUCCAUUCCUCUGUCUGUAUUCUUUGUUGUAAGGAGCGCCUUAAUACGCCUUCCUGUUCUAGAGCUUGUGAUUCUAUGGUGCGAAAGACUUAUCGAUCCGUAGAAAUGCGACUGCAGUGGAUGGGGCAUGGGGUGCUGAACUGAGAGGGGUACAAAUUCUAAUUCUGUCGCUCACUAGCUAUGUCAGGCAGGUCAUUGAACUGUCCCAUGCUUUGGUUUCUCCAUUUGAAAAUUGAUUUUGCUAGGUCAUUCCCCCCCCCCCCAAUAGGGGUUGCGGUGAGGACGAGGUGUAUGUAGUAACACAUGCCCAACAUUGAUGCCGUGUUUGUCACAUCGGGCACGUAUGGGCUAUGGACAUUAAAAAAGUGGACGAAGUAAACAGCACAUGUUAACGAAGUGUCCUACUGCUGACGCAGUUAUGGGGAUGUUUGUAAAAAUAAAUAAUACAUCUCAACCAAUGAUUAUCAGAGGCCAAAAUGAUCCCUGUGUAACUUCAUGAUCGGUACAAUGGAAGGACCACAUUAUGAAACACUCUGCCAAAACAAACAAAAAAACAUUGUAUCGAAAUUCCACCUUUUCCACAAUGUAUUGGUUUUGCCAUCUGUCAAAUGUUGGAGAAUUGAAUGUACUAUCUAUGGAGGAGCGUUUACACAGUGCUUGAGACACUUGAUAAACAGUAGCAGUUCCUGUGUUAGUAUUUAUUAUUCAAAAGCCAUAAUUAAAAAAAUACAGAUCAAAGAACCUGGAGGGAGACCCUAAAUCUUUUUUAAUAUCAUUUUCCUGAUACGUGGACCCUGUUUUCUCUGCAUUGAAAGCUUCUCAGUGCCUUUCUUCUUUCAUUCACUCCUUAACUCAUUGUUCUCUAAAGUGAUGGGUGGAGAUAACUGAAAAUAUUAUCCGGAUCUUAUUCAAGUACUAGACAUUUCUCAAGGCUUUACUGUGUUGCAAACAUCAUCCCCAAAUGCUUAUUUCAGGAACAGAACCUCCUGGCCAGAGAGCAGGGGAAUUUGAGGCUGUACUGUCUUUGGCAGACAUGACUCUGCAGGCUGCGAUUGCUGUGGAUGACAAUUACAGACCCAAGCCCGUCUUACGAAGUAUUUGAUGAUUCAAAACAGAACCGCAAUUGCCUUGAAAAGAAAGGCCAUGAUUGGCCCACUCUUAUUUUUAUUGGCAUAGAAACGGAUACCAAAUAAUGCCUUCAGAACCUCAAACUGCUAUUUAGACUCCUGGCCUCAUUUCAGGUCCAAGGAUAUGAGUUUCUGAACAUUCUGAAACUGAAGCCUCCAUUUCCAAAAGGAGACUUUAAAACAUUCCAGUCUUUUAAAAUAAACUGAUCAAAACUGGGGAAUGAAAAUACCACUAAUAUGUGCUUUCAGAUUUACUGGCAAUAGUCUUUGCUUGUCAGUUUUGUCCUGUGAACCUCUGAUAUGGGCCUCUUCUUCCACCAUGGUUACAGUCUCUGUCCUUCUGUCUCUCUCAUGCACACACUCGGUGAACUACCCAUUCCCUUAAGUUAUGAUCGGCUUUUGCAAAAGAGAGAGGGGCACCUGGCUAAUUUACAAAUUAUUUAAAAAUAUAUAUACUCUGAUCUCAUGAGUUUGGAGGGAAAAGAGUCAAAAGAAAUCAACAAAAAUAAAAAUACCAUUCUUAAGGACAGCAAUACAACAAAAUUUGAAUUGUGGUCAUCUUUGCAUCAUAGAAAUAUAAUUUUCUUUCUUCCCUCCACUUCUAUUUUCUAAUUUCUUAUGAGGUAUGUAUAUUACUUUUAAGUAAAGAGUUUUAGUAUUUUUAAAAGGGAUUUUAUGUUAAGUAAUGGUACUUUUUCAGGGCAACCUGCUUCUAGCCGAGUUAAACAGUCAUGAACAUUUCACCUUUGUGGUAGCAAGUGUCUCACUGGCCUUGUACCUGACUUUUCAGCAAGUAUCAAAAUGUAUUUUCACAUUACCACGUCACCUAUGUGGGGAUAAUAAACAGGCAUGCUCUGACUGGCUUGUCGUGACUUUGGCUCUGAGCUAAGAAGGUUCAUACCUCUUCAUACCAGAGUCUGACUCAGCGCUGCUCUGUGAUGGGCCCCGUGGAUGAAGCUUCUGGGGACCAGAGUGUGUGUUUAGACUUUCCUGGUAGAGCCUCCAAUACAGGCUGCCUACAAGUUUUCUUUUCUGAUUUGUUAACAACCUUUUUUGGCUUUUUUUUUUUCUUUCUGAUUAUAAAUGCAAUAUGUGUUGCUUAUAGAAAAUGCUAGUUGAACAUUAAGAAGAACAUAAGAUGCCCACAGUAGUAUAAUUCCUCCGCGCAGAAAUGACACCUGUUGCACACUUAGGUAUUUCCUUCCUCUGUGUGUGUGUACAUGUAGAAGGAACAUUUUAAGCAGUGUGAUUACAUUGUAUAUGCAUGUGUGUGGACACAUGUUUGAUAUAUGUGUCAAGAGCCUUUUCUAAUGUCCUUGCAGCUGUUUGCUUUCCAGCAAUUUUUGUGCCUGCGAAGGAAUGCACGCACCAUAAUUUAUUUAACCAGCCCUCUUUUCCGGGCAUUUAGAGCUCCCUCUUCCCCAAUUUUAGUUAAUGUAAGUAAUGCUGCCAUAAACAGACAUAAUUCUAUUCCCACCCUUGGCAUUAUUUCCUUAGUCUAGUUGGCUAGAAUUGAAGUUAAUGGGUCAAAGAACAUUGACGUUUUAAAAACUUUUUAUAGUCAAAGAAAUGCGAAGUAAAACAACGCGUGUAUCAAACUGAAAAAAAGUCAGAGCAUGUCCCACAUGCGCACAGAGAUUGGGGAGUAUCUUUCUUCUUCACCUUUGACAUAUGGCUACUCAAAAGCUAGUCCUUUGAUAAAGUUUUAAUUUACGUUUCUUUGAUUAUUUGUGAGACGAAACUCCUUUUCAGGUUUAUUAGCCAUUUGUCUUUGCUGUGAAUUAUCCUUUCAUGGCACUUGUUCCUUUUUCUACUGAUUUUUCCUUAUAAACCCAUAAAGGAUCCAUCUCCAUUAAAGAUAUUAGGCCUUUGUCACUUCUAUUGAGAAUAUUUCCUCAGUGUUGUUUGCCUUUUAUUUUUUAAUGAAUUUCUCUGACGUGCAGCCCUUUAAGUCUUGUGCAGUCAAUCUCCUGCUAUCUUUCCCUGUGAUUUCGUCCCUUUAUUACCCUUAGAGGUGCUUUCUCUUUCUGAGAUCAGAUACUCACGUGCAGCAUUUUGGAGCUUGUUUUUAAUAUCAGAAUAGAGUCUGAGCUGUGGCAAAGGAUGAACACCAUGAAUGUUAUCAGGUAACUAGGGCUUCCAGAGGCUCUUUCUACCUCUUGCAUCAUUAGAACAAAUUGAGCAUUUGCUUUUGAGAUAUGCCCAGUGGUUCUGGAGAUGCAGGCACAGGGCAGAAGAGUAAGCGGGGAACUGGGGGAAAACAGGAGAACAGGAAUUUUCAGUAAAUAGGUGUGGGCGUUCCUACUGCCAUGUACCAGGGGUGAUGUUAAGUCAGCUGCUGGGAAGUGGUUUCGGUCCCUGUAAAUGCUGGUCCUAAAAAGUGAGUCAGGAGCGUUCCGACUGUGGCUCAGCAGUAACGAACCUGACUCGUAUCCAUGAGGAUGUGAGUUUCAUCCCCAGCCUCACUCAGUGGGUUAAGGAUCUGGUGUUGCCAUAAGCUGUGGUGUAGGUUACAGACAAGUCUCAGAUCUGGCAUUGCUGUGGCUGUGGCAUAGGCUGGCAGCUGCAGCUCCGAUUCGACCCCUAGUCUGGGAGUUUCCAUAUGCU